UACGUAGGGUGCAAGCGUUAAUCGGAAUUACUGGGCGUAAAGCGUGCGCAGGCGGUGAUGUAAGACCGAUGUGAAAUCCCCGGGCUUAACCUGGGAACUGCAUUGGUGACUGCAUUGCUAGAGUAUGGCAGAGGGGGGUGGAAUUCCACGUGUAGCAGUGAAAUGCGUAGAGAUGUGGAGGAACACCGAUGGCGAAGGCAGCCCCCUGGGCCAAUACUGACGCUCAUGCACGAAAGCGUGGGGAGCAACAGG
rnacentral:rRNA from 1 species